rnacentral:tRNA from 1 species
UAGCUCAAUGGUAGAGCACAUGUUUAGCAUGCAUGAGAUCCAGGGUUCAAUCCCCAG